AUGCCUGUCAAAAAAUAAUGGGACAGAGUCCAGGAGCAUCCCCCCAUGAAUGCACACCUGGGUACUCCUUAAAAAUUUGCUGUAUAGUUAACUUAAAGUACAAUGUAUACAUGUUUACUCAGAAAGCACGAUUGUACCUAUAUUUCCAGCGAGGGUCAUCAUACUUCCAGUGUCUCUAACUUUGGAAACUAUUAACUAUCAACUAUGCCAACACAGACACGUCCGUUUGAAAUUACAGCUGGAAUAACUGAACUUUAUGAUGGGAGAUGGUAGCCCAGGUGAGAAAUGAAGACUCUGGUGUGAACUUGGGAUAAUUGCCUAAGACUACAAGCUGCACCUGAUGGACUGAAUCUUCAGUACAUCAAAAUCGUAUAGAAAACA